rnacentral:piRNA from 1 species
UAUCCGGGAAAAUACUGAAAA